rnacentral:rRNA from 1 species
GGAUUCCCCUAGUAACUGCGAGUGAACCGGGAAAAGCUCAAAUUUUGAAUCUGGCGGUCUGAGGCCCGUCCGAGUUGUAAUCUAGAGAAGCGUCUUCCGCGCUGGACCGUGUAUAAGUUUCCUGGAAUGGAACGUCGUAGAGGGUGACAAUCCCGUCUUUGACACGGACUCCCAGGGCUAUGUGAUGCGCUCUCGACGAGUCGAGUUGUUUGGGAAUGCAGCUCAAAUAGGGUGGUAAAUUCCAUCUAAAGCUAAAUACAGGCGAGAGACCGAUAGCGAACAAGUACCGUGAGGGAAAGAUGAAAAGAACUUUGGAAAGAGAGUUAAACAGUACGUGAAAUUGCUGAAAGGGAAACGCUUGAUGUCAGUCGCAUCGUCCGGGGAUCAGCCUCGCUUUUUUGCUCGGCGUACUUCCUGGUCGAUGGGUCAGCAUCGGUUUCGACCGUCGGAAAAUGGCUCGAGGAACGUGGCACUCUUCGGGGUGUGUUAUAGACUCCUGUCGAAUGCGAUGGUCGGGACCGAGGAACUCAGCGCGACCUUCGGGUUCGGGGCUUCGGCUCACGUUAGCGUGCUUAGGAUGCUGGCAUAAUGGCCUUAAGCGACCCGUCUUGAAACACGGACCAAGGAGUCUAACUCGCGUGCGAGUGUUUGGGUGAUUAAAACCCGAGCGCGU